rnacentral:tRNA from 1 species
GGGGUUGUGGCUCAGCGGUAGAGUGCUCGCCUAGCACGUGUGAGGCCCUGGGUUCAAUCCUCAGCACCA